rnacentral:rRNA from 1 species
AGUGAACGCUGGCGGUAGGCCUAACACAUGCAAGUCGAACGGCAGCACAGUAAGAGCUUGCUCUUACGGGUGGCGAGUGGCGGACGGGUGAGGAAUACAUCGGAAUCUACUUUUUCGAGGGGGAUAACGUAGGGAAACUUACGCUAAUACCGCAUACGACCUACGGGUGAAAGCAGGGGAUCUUCGGACCUUGCGCGAUUGAAUGAGCCGAUGUCGGAUUAGCUAGUUGGCGGGGUAAAGGCCCACCAAGGCGACGAUCCGUAGCUGGUCUGAGAGGAUGAUCCGCCACACUGGAACUGAGACACGGUCCAGACUCCUACGGGAGGCGGCAGUGGGGAAUAUUGGACAAUGGGCGCAAGCCUGAUCCAGCCAUACCGCGUGGGUGAAGAAGGCCUUCGGGUUGUAAAGCCCUUUUGUUGGGAAAGAAAAGCAGCAGGUUAAUACCCCGCUGUUCUGACGGUACCCAAAGAAUAAGCACCGGCUAACUUCGUG